rnacentral:rRNA from 1 species
GAUGAACGCUAGCGGGAGGCCUAACACAUGCAAGCCGAGCGGUAUUGUUUCUUCGGAAAUGAGAGAGCAGCGUACGGGUGCGGAACACGUGUGCAACCUGCCUUUAUCUGGGGGAUAGCCUUUCGAAAGGAAGAUUAAUACUCCAUAAUAUAUUGAACGGCAUCGUUUAAUAUUGAAAGCUCCGGCGGAUAGAGAUGGGCACGCGCAAGAUUAGCUAGUUGGUGAGGUAACGGCUCACCAAGGCAAUGAUCUUUAGGGGGCCUGAGAGGGUGAUCCCCCACACUGGUACUGAGACACGGACCAGACUCCUACGGGAGGCAGCAGUGAGGAAUAUUGGUCAAUGGGUGCAAGCCUGAACCAGCCAUGCCGCGUGCAGGAUGACGGCCCUACGGGUUGUAAACUGCUUUUCCCCGGGGCGAAUAACCCCUCGCGAGGGGGAGUGCCGGUACCGGGGAAGUAAGGAGUCGGCUAACUCCGUCG